rnacentral:tRNA from 1 species
GCCGACGUAGCUCAGUGGUAGAGCAGCUGAUUUGUAAUCAGCGGGUCGGGGGUUCAAAUCCCUUCGUCGGCUCCA